rnacentral:sRNA from 1 species
AAACGCGAGACUGAGUCUACCAGGUGAGGUAAAAAACACCCACCUGCUCACCUCGGAAGGGGCGGGCGAGGUGCGGCUCCAGGUGACCCGCGGGGGUGGAGCGCACCUGGGCGGAGGCGGAACUGGGGGGUGUCGGCACUGCUCGUAGGGCCUGGAACUAAAUUCACCUGUGAAGGAGUACGACUACACAGGAGACCCGGGCACCGGCAACUGCUCGGUGUGCGCCGCGGCCGGCCAGGGCCGGGCGCUGCCGCUCCCCUGCUCGUGCGCCUGGUACUUCUCGCUGCCCGAGCUCUUCCAGGGCCCGGUGUACCUCUACUACGAGCUGACCAACUUCUACCAGAACAACCGGCGCUACGGCGUGUCCCGCGACGACGCGCAGCUGAGCGGACUCCCCAGCGCGCUGCGCCACCCUGUCAACGAGUGCGCCCCCUACCAGCGCAGCGCGGCCGGCCUGCCCAUCGCGCCCUGCGGCGCCAUCGCCAACAGCCUCUUCAACGACUCCUUCUCGCUUUGGCACCAGCGCCAGCCCGGCGGGCCCUAUGUCAAGGUGCCGCUCGACCGCUCCGGCAUCGCCUGGUGGACCGACUACCACGUCAAGUUCCGCAACCCGCCGCUGGUCAAUGGCAGCCUGGCGUUGGCCUUCCAGGGCACGGCGCCCCCGCCCAACUGGCACCGGCCGGUCUACGAGCUGAGCCCCGACCCCAACAACACCGGUUUCAUCAAUCAGGACUUCGUGGUGUGGAUGCGCACGGCGGCUCUGCCCACGUUCCGCAAGCUGUACGCGCGCAUCCGCCAGGGCAACUACUCGGCCGGGCUGCCGCGGGGCGCCUACCGCGUCAACAUCACCUACAACUACCCGGUGCGCGCGUUCGGCGGCCACAAGCUCCUCAUCUUCAGCAGCAUCUCGUGGAUGGGUGGCAAGAACCCCUUCCUGGGCAUCGCCUACCUGGUCGUCGGCUCCGUCUGCAUCCUUACCGGCUUUGUCAUGCUGGUCGUCUACAUUCGCUACCAGGACCAGGACGACGACGACGAGGAGUGAUUCCGGCUUUCCAGGAAUCCCUCCUGCUUCUUGCCAAAACUCUUGCGAGGUGCUUUUGGCAUCUCCUCCUCGCCCCUCACCCAGUUCCAACCUCGCCUCGCUUUUCCUCCCUUUGUGAAUGAGGGGACCAGAGAAGGGAAUUACCCGCCUUGCUCUUGGGGGGCUGCUAGACUGUCUUGCCGCGGGGAGGGAUGUUGACUGCAGAGUGAAACAUCCUUGC